rnacentral:rRNA from 1 species
CAGCCGCCGCGGGAAUACAGAGGGUGCGAGCGUUAUUCGGAUUUACUGGGCGUAAAGCGUGCGUAGGCGGCUUCUUAAGUCGGAUGUGAAAUCCCUGAGCUUAACUCUGGAAUUGCAUUCGAUACUGGGAAGCUAGAGUAUGGAAGAGGAUGGUAGAAUUCCAGGUGUAGAGGUGAAAUGCGUAGAGAUCUGGAGGAAUACCGAUGGCGAAGGCAGCCAUCUGGCCUAAUACUGACGCUGAGGUACGAAAGCAUGGGGAGCAAACAGGAUUAGAUACCCGUGUAGUCCCUGUCUCUUAUAC